rnacentral:lncRNA from 1 species
UUUAAUGCUUAGUUAAUUAUCUUGUAAAUUUUGAGGUGGGGAAAGAUUCACUAAACAUUGGGACUAAAUAUUGCUAAAAACAUUGUUAAAUUAUUCAUUUUAUAGUUUAUUAUGUUUGGUAUAACGUUUUUUGUUAAAGUUAGACAUUGCCCGUCAGCCAUCCAAAGAUGCAACAUCUUACGCCAUGCAACUUGUAUAAUGCAAGGAGUCAAAAAAGUCUAAUCAACUUAUGGACAAUCAAGAUAAAAACAACUAGAAAGGCUAAAGGUGGUGAGAUGAUAUAUUUACCUUCAGAAGGAUAAAGAUGAUAUUCUCUCCCUCUUCAAGUUAUGGUACUUACCUUCAUCAUUGGUUCUCUCAAUUGAUUGAGUCAUUUGAUCAUUUCACACAUAUUAAAAAAACUGUAUAAAUGAGAGAGAAAAAAAAUUAGUUUUAAGUGUCUUUGUCAAAUAUUGGUGCAUUCACCAUUGUCUUAUAUGUAAAGUGAGAAAUAUGGAAUUGGA